rnacentral:rRNA from 1 species
UGGGUAACCCACCCCGAUGACCGGGACAACCCGAGGAAACUCGGGCUAAUACCGGAUGUGUCGACCGAUCAUCAGAUCGGUUUGCAAAGAUAGCUUCGGCCUUCGCAUCGGGACGGGCCCGCGGCCCAUUAGCUUGUUGGUGGGGUAACGGCCUACCAAGGCGACGAUGGGUAGCUGGUCUGAGAGGACGAUCAGCCACACUGGGACUGAGACACGGCCCAGACUCCUACGGGAGGCAG